GGUGGGGAAGCAGCAGCUGGACAUCCAAAUGCGCCAGGGAUCCUCCCGGAGUCCCGACUCUCCGGCGGGCCGGGUUUCCCCUCCUCCGCUCGGUCGGAGCCAGACGAAUCUACAUUCCCAGAUUCCCGGCGGGGCCCGGUACCGAGAUCGCCACGUCCACCCGGGAAGACGCGGUCCCUGCAGCUCUUGCGUGCGCAAGCCGAGGUGUGUUUUAAAAUUGCCACAGUGUUUGGGGAGAGCAACAGACUGGAGUUGAAAGGCACAAGUAAUCAUGAGCCCUCCUGAGGGCUGGAGCUACGUCAUCCCAGGGCUGAGCAGAGCGUUCUGCAUGAUGAUCUAAGCUCCCGAGAAACGCAGGGUCAACAUCAGCGCCGUCUGGCAGCCAGCAGACACCGCCUGCCAAGUCCUCUGCAGGGCCUGGGGGUCAGAGAAAGAAGAGCACGCACGCUGGCAAAGAGUUGGGAAAACAGACCUUGAAGGGGUGGGUGACAGUGUGGUGAUGCCCGACGCCGGGACUGCCUCUCCGCCCAGGGAGACCUGCACAGAGGACGCCGUCCGCGCCAGUGGUGAAACCGGCUCUGUUCCUGCCGACCGUGACCUCCUCUGAAGCACAUCCUUGGGGCCACCAUUCGAGGCUCAGAAGAGCCAGGGCCUGAUUCCAUGAUUUUACCAAGACUUGCUUUCUUCACAUCCUCCCAACUGGACUCUCUCCAGAAAAGCAGUCCUUUGAUCUCAUCCUCCAGCUUGGAAACGUCAACUUGGACACCCUCCGGCUGGCCUGUGCCAUUGUUCAGGGCCUUUUGAGGUCGGGACGCACAGACUUUGGAUUCGCCGCUGCUCGUCUCCGCCUAUCCCCACACCAGGCACCAGGGCCUCCCGAGGCACAGCUCCUCUCCCUCCUGCCUUUCUGGCCGCCGCACAGCUGGCACCCUCGCCGCCAUUUUGGCGGGGGCCCAAGGCCUAGAAAAUGAAGGAACCUAGGCAACCGCUGGCGACAGAUUGCCGCUAGGUUCGGGCUUUGAUGAUGCCGAGCUGGCCUCUUCAGAGGAAUGUAGACCUGUCUGCACCCGAAAACCAAAACGAGUCCAAGGGGCGUGGCCAGGCGGCUGGCGGAGAGGCCCUACUUCACUUGGGCGGACACCGGCGUCUGGAAGGAGGCCUGGCACACUGGGCCCGGGAGAUGGCUCCAGGCCCAGGGCCAGCCACGCUGCUUUCCCACGUGUGCAGGCGUUGGCUUCCCCAGAGCUAGACUCCACGGAGGGAAGAAGGCUCCCCGGGGAGAGGAAGGCUGGGGGCUUUCCCCUCGUGUGUGCGCCAUCCCGGGCCUGGGAACAGCUGCUCCAAAAGGCCCAAGUGGGGGCUUUUGCAGGGAUUCCAGGGGUUAGUCCUGACAUAUGCAGAAUCAUUAGAAUCCAUCCGUGUGACCCCUGAUUUAAAGCUCUCCCAAGACACUUUUCACCCACCACUGGCCUGCCCAGUACUAGCCAUGAGGAGCCUGUAGCUACUGAGUACUCAAAGUAUACUCCCAAUCCCCAUCAGAUUUCAAAG